rnacentral:rRNA from 1 species
UACGUAGGGUGCGAGCGUUGUCCGGAAUUAUUGGGCGUAAAGGGCUCGUAGGCGGUUUGUCGCGUCGGGAGUGAAAACACUGGGCUUAACUCAGUGCUUGCUUCCGAUACGGGCAGACUAGAGGUAUGCAGGGGAGAACGGAAUUCCUGGUGUAGCGGUGAAAUGCGCAGAUAUCAGGAGGAACACCGAUGGCGAAGGCAGCUCGCUGGGACGGUACUGACGCUGAGACGCGAAAGCGUGGGGAGCGAACAGG